GAACUGAAGAGUUUGAUCCUGGCUCAGAUUGAACGCUGGCGGCAUGCCUAACACAUGCAAGUCGAACGGUAACAGGACGCUGUGAUCCCUUCGGGGUGAACU
rnacentral:rRNA from 1 species